rnacentral:rRNA from 1 species
GGGCCCGCACAAGCGGUGGAGCAUGUGGUUUAAUUCGAUGAUACGCGAGGAACCUUACCAGGGCUUAAAUGCAGAACGACCGGCGUGGAAACAUGCCUUUCUUCGGACGGACUGCAAGGUGCUGCAUGGUCGUCGUCAGCUCGUGCCGUGAGGUGUCGGGUUAAGUCCCAUAACGAGCGCAACCCCUAUCUUUAGUUGCCAGCGGAUAAUGCCGGGGACUCUAGAGAAACUGCCAGCGUAAGCUGUGAGGAAGGUGGGGAUGACGUCAGAUCAUCACGGCCCUUACGUCCUGGGCUACACACGUGCUACAAUGGCAAGGACAAUGAGCUGCCAACCCGCGAGGGUGAGCAAAUCUUCAAACCUUGUCUCAGUUCGGAUCGGAGUCUGCAACUCGACUCCGUGAAGUUGGAAUCGCUAGUAAUCGC